UCUUCCCUCUUUCUUCGUGCCUAAUACAUGCAAGUCGAGCGAACAGACGAGGAGCUUGCUCCUCUGACGUUAGCGGCGGACGGGUGAGUAACACGUGGAUAACCUACCUAUAAGACUGGGAUAACUUCGGGAAACCGGAUCUAAUACCGGAUAAUAUAUUGAACCGCAUGGUUCAAUAGUGAAAGACGGUUUUGCUGUCACUUAUAGAUGGAUCCGCGCCGCAUUAGCUAGUUGGUAAGGUAACGGCUUACCAAGGCAACGAUGCGUAGCCGACCUGAGAGGGUGAUCGGCCACACUGGAACUGAGACACGGUCCAGACUCCUACGGGAGGCAGCAGUAGGGAAUCUUCCGCAAUGGGCGAAAGCCUGACGGAGCAACGCCGCGUGAGUGAUGAAGGUCUUCGGAUCGUAAAACUCUGUUAUUAGGGAAGAACAAAUGUGUAAGUAACUAUGCACGUCUUGACGGUACCUAAUCAGAAAGCAACGGCUAACUACGUG
rnacentral:rRNA from 1 species